UCACCGUGAACUGCCGUGAAACUGGCGCCUUGGUUCGGUCGAGGCUGGCGGAAUGCGUGGUGUAGCGGUGAAAUGUUAGAUAUCACGCGGAACGCCGAUUGCGAAGGCAGCUGGCCAGGCCGAUACCGACGCUGAGGCACGAAAGCGUGGGGAUCAAACAGGAUUAGAUACCCUGGUAGUCCACGCCGUAAACGAUGAUCACUGGAUGCCGGCGAUACACCGUCGGUGUCUGAGCGAAAGCAUUAAGUGAUCCACCUGGGGAGUACGAUCGCAAGGUUGAAACUCAAAGGAAUUGACGGGGGCCCGCACAAGCGGAGGAACAUGUGGUUUAAUUCGAUGAUACGCGAGGAACCUUACCUGGGCUCAAACGCACCGGGAAGUGCGCCGAAAGGCGCGCGCCAGCAAUGGCCGGGUGCGAGGUGCUGCAUGGUUGUCGUCAGCUCGUGCCGUGAGGUGUCGGGUUAAGUCCCAUAACGAGCGCAACCCCUACUGCUAGUUGCCAGCGCGUCAAGGCGGGGACUCUAGCGGAACUGCCGGCGUAAGCCGUGAGGAAGGUGGGGAUGACGUCAAAUCAGCACGGCCCUUAUGUCCAGGGCUACACACGUGUUACAAUGGCCGGUACAGAGGGCAGCCACCCCGCAAGGGGGCGCGAAUCCCGAAAGCCGGUCCCAGUUCGGAUCGGAGUCUGCAACCCGACUCCGUGAAGCUGGAUUCGCUAGUAAUCGCGCAUCAGCCAUGGCGCGGUGAAUACGUUCCCGGGCCUUGUACACACCGCCCGU
rnacentral:rRNA from 1 species